rnacentral:piRNA from 1 species
UCUAAAGAUGUGACAUAUUAACAAUUCG